AGUAGUAGUAGUAGCUUUGUACUGUUACAUUGGUAAUAAUAGACUAAUAGUAAUAUUUCUUUCUAUCUUUGUAGGUUUUGAAGGUCUCUCAAAACAUGAGAAUGAAAUACCAGUUUAUAUGCAUCUGUUGAUUCUUGAAAACUCAAUGGCCUUUUGAUAAACAUGCACUUUUUGAAGAAAAUAGAUACUUAAAUCACAAUUUUAUAGACAUUUAUAAAUAUACAGAUAUACUAAGAUAGAUUAAAGGUUUGCUGAUGUCUUCUUAAGUGGCUUUGGACGUCUAUAUCCCCAAAACCUUUCACUGACAAACAAAUGGACUUAUUAUGAAGUAAACAUGUGACUCAGUAGACCGUAUGUACAUAGAAACAGGCCUCUGCCAAAGGGGAAACAAUGACAAGCUGAAAGCUGCUAAAGACAGAAGAGACGAGUGAAAGUGGAAGACUGAGCCAAGAUGUUGUGAGCACCGAGACGACCGGAUCAGGAGAAAAUCUGGCAAAACGCCUGCGGUGUCACUACGGAGACCAAAACACAGACCCCACGGCCUGGGAUAAAGCUACUGUUUCUGAAGAAAAACAGAAUAUGAAAUGAUUGUGGACUAAAUGUGAGUGUAUGCUGCAACUGAGCCUCUCCGAUCAGGAAGAAGGCUGCCGCGGGAUUACAUGGCUGAGCCAGACUUAAUGGAUCUUGGGAGCUCUUCUGUUUCAUCGAUGGAGGAGAGGAUAGGAGCCAGUCCAGACCUGCAGAGCAACUGUCUCCAGACUUUAGAGCAGACUUCUUUCGUCCAGCCGGACCUCUCUCUUUCAAGCAGGAUCAGACAGUUGGAGCGGUCCGAGAGGAAACUUUUGCUUCAGCUCUAUCAGCUAGCAGCUACAUCUCAGCUACCCAGCAUGCAACACUCCCAGAGACUCGAUCAAAAACUCUACAUGCUCAGGGAGGAAGUAAGGACCAUGAGUCGGGAGAAGGAGCAGGUGGAGAAAGUUUGGAGGGAGCGGCUGCAGCGCUGUCAAAGGCAGCUACAGGCCAAAGAGGAUGAAAUUAUUCGUCAAUCUCAGUACUUUGAGAGCUUCAAGAGCCAACUCCAGCAUAAGCUCAAACUGAGUCGGGACACAGAGGAGGCGCUACAAAACCGAAUCUUCACUUUGGAAAAACAACUACUGGACAUGACAGUGACUGCGGCCACUGGUAUAACCAUGAUGGUACCAGUCCGAAUUACGGCAGAUUCUGUAACACACUGGGAGGAACAGGAAAGGCUCCCUUCACUGAGAGGAGAGGGGGAAGGAGAAGAGGCAAAGAAGGAGGAACGCAAGAAGCAAUGGAAGUGUUUAGGCGAUGAGAGCGAAAAAUUGAAUGACUCAGACCAGACCAGGCUCCAGGGGUUUAUACUGAGCCUGCAGGAGGACCUCAGGGUGCUGCUGGAGCGAGAGGAGAAGGCCACGACUGAGCACAGAGCACUCAUGGAGCAGCUGCACGAGGCCCAGGACAACGGCCAUUUUCUAUGCUGCAAAGUGGAGGAGAUGAAGUCCGAAAUCCAUCAUCUGAACCUGUCCAAAGUUUCUCUGGAGGAGGAACUGGAGGAGCUGAGAGAAGAGAACCAAAGACUACAGCACUGCCUUAGAGACGCAGCGGACCACCUGCCAAACGCCACAGAUGUGGGCAUUCAAAAGGUGAACACAUGAUAUACAUGCACAUUAAAAACAUAGAAAGAUAAGGGUAGAA
rnacentral:lncRNA from 1 species